UACUAUAUGAUUUGUUGUUAUUUAUUUGUUCCCAACAAUUACUAUUUAUUCAUUCAUCGAUAUAUCGGAAUUUUCUGCUGUUCACAUGGCACACCGUUUCACCGUUCCUCCGCGAAAGAAUAUUGAAACCGUUCCUACGAUCACCGUUCCUGCGAUCACCGUUCCUCCGCGAGAGAAUAUUGAAACCGUUCCUGUGAUCACCGUCCAAGUCACGGUGACAAGAAAGAACCGUGAAAAGUCACGGUUCACGCCGGCGCGGUGAUCCUAGUAUUAAAUCGCUACUUUCGUCGCUCGCCGUUCCUUGAUCACAGAGAUAUGGAGAAGGAGAAUGAGCUUCGACUUCUGCGCAUCGGUACACUAUGGGGGCCGCCAUUUUAUCAGUUAACCUUAAAGUUUUGUUUACCUACGAGGUUACGACGUUGUUGAACCAGUUGUAAUUUGGAGUUAAAAUUAUUACUUAAUUUGUUUUACCGUUAGUGUACGUGUGAACGUGCUUGUUAGUGUUAAAGGACAUUAUUAUUGACAACAAACAUGUCUUGUGCAGUUUCUCACUGUAAAAAUUGUCAACGAUUUCGUUCAGAAGGUGUAUCUUUUCAUCAGUAAGUUUUCUUCAUUAUCUUAUUAAAAUCGAAUACGUAGAUAGUUAUAAUUAAUAACAAUUGGUUAUUGCAAUACUAUGUGAUCAAUAUUUAUUAUAUCUGAUUUUAGGUUUCCGAAAGAUCGAAAACUUUUAAAAAAGUGGCUGAUUGUUGUGAAAAAAGAUGACAGUUUCAAACUGACUAAGUAUAAGCUGGUGUGCUCAGAUCAUUUCACAACAACUGAUUUCAUUGUUGUAAAUGAGUGAAAACGAUUGAAAUCGAACGCAAUUCCCAGUGUGAAUUUAGAUGAAAGUCUAGAAGCUUCUUCAACUUCAAUGAGUACUGUGAGUGCUACUUCAGCUGAUAUUUGAGAAGAGUCUCCAUCGAUUAUACCUCAAGGUGUAAAGAGGACAUUAAGUGCUGCGCAGAGAUACCAUGGAAAAAGCAGUAGCAGUACAAGUGGAAGUAAAAGCAAGAACUCAAAAAGUAGUUCUGACAGGAGGGAAGGUGAUAAGCUGGCGUUACAUAAAAAAACUACAUGAAUUACAAAGUGAUGAAUUCCUAAAUGUUGCAAACAAGUUGAAAAAGGCACAUUUGGAGUGAUGGAAACAUAAAAUGAAAUUCUAUUAUAGGUGAGUUUAGCAGCACAAACUCUUAGCAAGAGUUGCGGAUGCACUUGAAUUUUUAAAAGAUCUUGGUAUUAGUGACUUUCAAGGUUGUGAAACAACAAUAGAAUUCAUCAGAAGGAUAGAUUCUUUAUUUGAUAUUCUCAAUUCCCGAAGUGUACGUGCUAAGAAUUUUAAGGCACCUUUGAGAGAAAACAAUGAAGAAAUGUGGCGUCCAUUUCUCAUCGACACCAGUGAGUAUCUUCUGAAUUUGAAGGAUGUCACUGGCGGCCCUUUGUGGUGCACGCCCCGAAAAACGUCAAUUCUGGGCUUUGUUAUUUCCGCUACGUCGUUCAUGGGAAUUUUUGAUGAAUUUGUUAGUAGUAAGAGGUUGAAUGACUUGCUAACAUAAAUGUAGUCAAGAUCAUCUAGAAAUUUUCUUCUGCUCAGUGCGAUCGAGAAAUGGGUGAAACAAUAACCCUACUCCUCUACGAUUUUGUAAAACUUAGAAGAUUGCUUCUAUUUACAAACAUAACGAGGGAAGGAGGAAAUUGUAAAGUGCUUUGCACCACCUGUCUGCUCUCUGUUAACAUUGGCCCAAAGCAAAAGAGCACAAAUGUUCAACAAUCAGUUGACGUGUUUGUCUUGAAAAAAUAUGAUCUCGAUAUUUUGACUGAAGCACUUGCAGAUCAUGACUAUGACCGUCUAAGUUUAUUGGGCUGAGUGAAGUGGCAGAAAACGUGGCAUAUAUUGGUAGCUAUGUUGUCAAAAUGGUGGUGAAGACGUUUAAGUGCGCAGACUGCAUUUCUUCUUGUAUUGAAACAAGAAGAAGUGACUUACACUUUUACAGAUUAUUGGACAAAAAAAACAUGGGUGGGCUUAUUAAACCUUUUGCUGGGGUUGUGAAGACUUGUUGUUACUGUUAAUACGAAAAAUUUUGCAACUCACCGAUAAACUUCCAAACGAUGAACAAUUUUUUAAAACUUUCGGCAUGCCAGCAUUCUUUUUCCUAAUUUAGAAGACCCACGCACUCGAGACGGUGGCCAUCGAUGAAGGCCAUUUAUAUAUUCUUAUUAAACAAAUAAUUAAUGCCUACAUGCGAAUAAGAAUGUUUCAUUUGAGCAAAAGACUUUCAUGUCUUGCUCAAGGCACUUCUGUUAGACAUGUGUACACAUAAUUAGUACUGUUUUCGCAUCAAUAAAUAUAUUGAAGUAUAA